AGAAUCAACGCUGGCGGCGUGCCUCAGACAUGCAAGUCGAACGCGAAAGUCCCCUUCGGGGGGCAAGUAGAGUGGCGCACGGGUGAGUAACACGUAGGUAAUCUACCUUCGGGUGGGGAAUAACAACCGGAAACGGUUGCUAAUACCGCAUAAUGCAGCGGCACCUAAUGGUGACAGUUAGGUUAAAGGCGGGGGAUCGAAAGAUCUCGCGCCUGAAGAGGAGCCUGCGGCGGAUUAGCUAGGUUGGUAGGGUAACGCCUACCGAAGGCGAACGUAUCCGUA
rnacentral:rRNA from 1 species